rnacentral:rRNA from 1 species
AGAGUUUGAUCAUGGCUCAGAUUGAACGCUGGCGGCAGGCCUAACACAUGCAAGUCGAACGGUAACAGGAAACAGCUUGCUGUUUCGCUGACGAGUGGCGGACGGGUGAGUAAUGUCUGGGAAACUGCCUGAUGGAGGGGGAUAACUACUGGAAACGGUAGCUAAUACCGCAUAAUGUCGCAAGACCAAAGAGGGGGACCUUCGGGCCUCUUGCCAUCGGAUGUGCCCAGAUGGGAUUAGCUGGUAGGUGGGGUAACGGCUCACCUAGGCGACGAUCCCUAGCUGGUCUGAGAGGAUGACCAGCCACACUGGAACUGAGACACGGUCCAGACUCCUACGGGAGGCAGCAGUGGGGAAUAUUGCACAAUGGGCGCAAGCCUGAUGCAGCCAUGCCGCGUGUAUGAAGAAGGCCUUCGGGUUGUAAAGUACUUUCAGCGGGGAGGAAGGGAGUAAAGUUAAUACCUUUGCUCAUUGACGUUACCCGCAGAAGAAGCACCGGCUAACUCCGUGCCAGCAGCCGCGGUAAUACGGAGGGUGCAAGCGUUAAUCGGAAUUACUGGGCGUAAAGCGCACGCAGGCGGUUUGUUAAGUCAGAUGUGAAAUCCCCGGGCUCAACCUGGGAACUGCAUCUGAUACUGGCAAGCUUGAGUCUCGUAGAGGGGGGUAGAAUUCCAGGUGUAGCGGUGAAAUGCGUAGAGAUCUGGAGGAAUACCGGUGGCGAAGGCGGCCCCCUGGACGAAGACUGACGCUCAGGUGCGAAAGCGUGGGGAGCAAACAGGAUUAGAUACCCUGGUAGUCCACGCCGUAAACGAUGUCGACUUGGAGGUUGUGCCCUUGAGGCGUGGCUUCCGGAGCUAACGCGUUAAGUCGACCGCCUGGGGAGUACGGCCGCAAGGUUAAAACUCAAAUGAAUUGACGGGGGCCCGCACAAGCGGUGGAGCAUGUGGUUUAAUUCGAUGCAACGCGAAGAACCUUACCUGGUCUUGACAUCCACGGAAGUUUUCAGAGAUGAGAAUGUGCCUUCGGGAACCGUGAGACAGGUGCUGCAUGGCUGUCGUCAGCUCGUGUUGUGAAAUGUUGGGUUAAGUCCCGCAACGAGCGCAACCCUUAUCCUUUGUUGCCAGCGGUCCGGCCGGGAACUCAAAGGAGACUGCCAGUGAUAAACUGGAGGAAGGUGGGGAUGACGUCAAGUCAUCAUGGCCCUUACGACCAGGGCUACACACGUGCUACAAUGGCGCAUACAAAGAGAAGCGACCUCGCGAGAGCAAGCGGACCUCAUAAAGUGCGUCGUAGUCCGGAUUGGAGUCUGCAACUCGACUCCAUGAAGUCGGAAUCGCUAGUAAUCGUGGAUCAGAAUGCCACGGUGAAUACGUUCCCGGGCCUUGUACACACCGCCCGUCACACCAUGGGAGUGGGUUGCAAAAGAAGUAGGUAGCUUAACCUUCGGGAGGGCGCUUACCACUUUGUGAUUCAUGACUGGGGUGAAGUCGUAACAAGGUAACCGUAGGGGAACCUGCGGUUG